rnacentral:rRNA from 1 species
CAAACUAGGAUUAGAUACCCUACUAUGCUCAGCCGUUAACCUAGACUGCACAACAACCAGCAGUUCGCCAGAAAACUACAAGUGAAAAACUUCAAACUCCAAGGACUUGACGGUGUCCCAUACAAACCUAGAGGAGCCUGUACUAUAAUCGAUAAUCCACGAUAUACCUUACCCUCCCUUGUCAAAUCAACCUAUAUACCGCCGUCGCCAGCCUGCCUUUUGAAAGAAAGUACAGCAGGCAACAAAGUAACUACCACACACUAAAACGUCAGGUCAAGGUGUAGUUAAUGAGAGGGCAGAUAUGGGCUACAUUUUCUAAUGUAGAAAACACCAACAGCAAUAUGAAACACAAGCCAUAAGAUGGAUUUAGCAGUAAACCUGGCAAGACAGGCCAAAUUGAAAUUAACCCUGGGACGCGUACACACCGCCCGUCACCCUCCUCGACAUCAAUAAAACCACUAAAUAAAACAAACCAACACCAGCAGAUGAGGUAAGUCGUAACAUGGUAAGCGUACUGGAAAGUGCGCUUGGCCCAC